rnacentral:tRNA from 1 species
CAGAAGUUAGUUUAAAAUAAAACGUAAGUUUUGGGGAUUUAAAAUGGGUGGAACCCCACUUUUGA